rnacentral:rRNA from 1 species
GGNUCGUAGGCGGUUUGUUGCNUCGGGAGUGAAAACUCAGGGCUUAACCCUGAGCCUGCUUCCGAUACGGGCAGACUAGAGGUAUGCAGGGGAGAACGGAAUUCCUGGUGUAGCGGUGAAAUGCGCAGAUAUCAGGAGGAACACCGGUGGCGAAGGCGGUUCUCUGGGCAUUACCUGACGCUGAGGAGCGAAAGUGUGGGGAGCGAACAGGAUUAGAUACCCUGGUAGUCCACACCGUAAACGUUGGGCGCUAGGUGUGGGACUCAUUCCACGAGUUCCGUGCCGCAGCUAACGCAUUAAGCGCCCCGCCUGGGGAGUACGGCCGCAAGGCUAAAACUCAAAGGAAUUGACGGGGG